UUCGCACGCACUUUGUGUUGGUGCUGGCGCAGGUGGUGGAG
rnacentral:antisense_RNA from 1 species